rnacentral:rRNA from 1 species
AUUGAACGCUGGCGGCAUGCUUUACACAUGCAAGUCGAACGGGGUGAAGGGGCAACUCUUCAUUCAGUGGCGAACGGGUGAGUAAUGCAUCGGAACGUACCUCGUAGUGGGGGAUAACUCGGCGAAAGCCGUGCUAAUACCGCAUAUGCUCUACGGAGGAAAGCAGGGGACCUGAAAGGGCCUUGUGCUAUGGGAGCGGCCGAUGUCCGAUUAGCUAGUUGGGGGGUAAUGGCCUACCAAGGCGACGAUCGGUAGCUGGUCUGAGAGGAUGAUCAGCCACACUGGGACUGAGACACGGCCCAGACUCCUACGGG